CCAAAAACGAGCUUCCUUUUGCAAACCUCUGCCGGCCGCGUGGCGCAACGAGCGGAUCAAAAAGAGAGGUGUACUGAUGCACUCGUAAACCUAGGUGGGUGGCGGAUGGAGAAGUAGAAUAGAGAAGUCUUGUGUGAUGUCGGUAAGCAAGGGGAGUUCAGAGAGAGGAGGGUUAAGGUUAGAGCAGUCGGUACCGUGCUGGUAGGGAGGCCGCUCGUUGAGGAAGGUACCACGAGCACGCCGAGGAUGGAGAGGUACCGACACUGCGAGCAGCGGAACAGGCGGAGGUGGCAAUCGACCUGUGCGCGGGAGAGGUACCGGCAGCAUCGGUCCCACAAAGCCAGCGGUACCGGUUCGACGUGGGUGGGUGCCGCUGCCGCCGCCGCCGCUCAAAAACGACCUUGGCUCCCCGAAACGACCUUGGCCCAUAAAAAAAACGACCUAGGUGGUAAAACAAAACGAUGUUAGGGAAACAAAAAACGAUGGUAGGGGCAAAAAACGACCUUGACCACGGGGACAGACGACGUUGGUCGACCACCUACACGAUGUUCCAGCCACGGAGCGGCCCCUUCGAUGUAGCUCGUCGUUCCUCACAACAUAGGUUGCGUCAAGCUUGCAGCCCUCGACGUUAGCACGUGCGGCCUCGACGUUGGCCGAUGACCCCCUCGACGUUCUCUCCCACCGGUAAAAAACGACUUGGUUAAAAAACAAAAACGACCUUGGCCACAUAAAAAAACGACCUUGGUUCUAUUAAAAAACGAAGUAGCCUACGUCUCGAGAGUUUACGAGUACAGCAAAAACAACAGUGGAUUCAAACAAAAACGAUCUUCGUAAAAGACUAAAACGAAGUUGGCUAGUGGCUUGAAGGUAGGGCCCCACUUCAAAAAACGACCUUCUAAAAACAACGAAGGACUAAAAAACGACGAACCGUGAGCUUGGGCCGCUCGACCUCUGCGUCUCUACUACGUCGGUCGGUGGGACUGACGAUCGUGUACGUAGUAGUCUUCAAACCUAGGUCGUUUAAUAAAACGAUGGCGGUAUUAAAAAAUGACCUUUGUUGAAGUUUAAAACGAAGGUGGUACAAGACAAAAUCGACCUAGGUCGAAAACAAAAACGAAGGUGGUACCGCCGCCGGCCGCCGUUGCUGACGCCGGCCGUCGCUGCUGCUGCUGGUCGUCCCUCCCGCCGAUGUCCGCUCGCGUAGCCCCGCCAUGAAAGACCGACCCGUGUAGCGAGUAGGUACCGUCGUACGACCUUCAAAAAAAAUUUCCUUCUUCUGCGAACCACUUUCUUUUCCUUUCUUAGCAUGCCGAUACUCAACAAGUUAGCCUGCGACGAUCCUGCGACGACCAUGCUGGCCGGGUUUCAACCCGGCCGCGUGACCGCGGAUCAUGAGUGGAACGAGCUUGCCAGUCGUGUCUAAAACCGCGGUGCAAGGAAUACACAUGGUCGCAGAGAUCAAUUAAAAUCAAAAAUUAAUACAUAUAAACGUCAGAAUAUUGUCUAUAUUAAAUGUUGUGGAUGUACCGUUGUAUAUUCUAGACAACGUUAGAUACAUGCUGUGAUACCGGCACUCGACGUUCACAUGUUGCCUAUACGACGUUGCGAAUAUACGCAUAGAGAACACCUAAAACGUUGAAUAUCAGUUUUGCAACAUCUUAUACACAACGAAAUAUCCCCCAUAGGAACAUCACCCGCCGG
rnacentral:rRNA from 1 species